rnacentral:rRNA from 1 species
UGUGGCCAAGUUUUUAAGGGCGCACGGUGGAUGCCUUGGCACCAGGAACCGAUGAAGGACGUGGGAGGCCACGAUAGUCCCCGGGGAGUCGUCAACCAGGCUUUGAUCCGGGGGUUUCCGAAUGGGGAAACCCGGCAGUCGUCAUGGGCUGUCACCCGCUGCUGAACACAUAGGCAGUGUGGAGGGAACGAGGGGAAGUGAAACAUCUCAGUACCCUCAGGAAGAGAAAACAACCGUGAUUCCGGGAGUAGUGGCGAGCGAAACCGGAUGAGGCCAAACCGUAUGCGUGUGAGACCCGGCAGGGGUUGCGUGUACGGGGUUGUGGGAUCUCUCUUCUGCGGUCUGCCGGCCGUAGGGCGAGUUAUAAACCGUUGAUGUAGACGAAGGACAUGCGAAAGGUCCGGCGUAGAGGGUAAGACCCCCGUAGUCGAAAUGUCAGCGGCUUGCUUGAGAGACACCCAAGUAGCACGGGGCCCGAGAAAUCCCGUGUGAAUCUGGCGGGACCACCCGCUAAGCCUAAAUAUUCCCUGGUGACCGAUAGCGGAUAGUACCGUGAGGGAAUGGUGAAAAGUACCCCGGGAGGGGAGUGAAAUAGUACCUGAAACCGUGUGCCUACAAGCCGUGGGAGCGUCGGAAUGUGCUUGCACAUUCUCGUGACUGCGUGCCUUUUGAAGAAUGAGCCUGCGAGUUUGCGGUGUGUUGCGAGGUUAACCCGUGUGGGGAAGCCGUAGCGAAAGCGAGUCCGAACAGGGCGAUUCAGUAGCACGCUCAAGACCCGAAGCGGAGUGAUCUAGCCAUGGGCAGGUUGAAGCGGAGGUAAGACUUCGUGGAGGACCGAACCCACCAGGGUUGAAAACCUGGGGGAUGACCUGUGGUUAGGGGUGAAAGGCCAAUCAAACUCCGUGAUAGCUGGUUCUCCCCGAAAUGCAUUUAGGUGCAGCGUCGUGUGUUUCUUGCCGGAGGUAGAGCACUGGAUAGGCGAUGGGCCCUACCGGGUUACUGACCUUAGCCAAACUCCGAAUGCCGGUAAGUGAGAGCACGGCAGUGAGACUGUGGGGGAUAAGCUCCAUGGUCGAGAGGGAAACAGCCCAGAGCAUCGACUAAGGCCCCUAAGCGUACGCUAAGUGGGAAAGGAUGUGGAGUCGCACAGACAACCAGGAGGUUGGCUUAGAAGCAGCCACCCUUGAAAGAGUGCGUAAUAGCUCACUGGUCUAGUGAUUCCGCGCCGACAAUGUAGCGGGGCUCAAGCGUACCGCCGAAGUCGUGUCAUUGCAGCAAUAGCCCCAACGGGUGCUGUGAUGGGUAGGGGAGCGUCGUCUGCCGGGUGAAGCAGCACCGGAAGGUAGUUGUGGACGGUUGACGAGUGAGAAUGCAGGCAUGAGUAGCGAUACACACGUGAGAAACGUGUGCGCCGAUUGACUAAGGGUUCCUGGGUCAAGCUGAUCUGCCCAGGGUAAGUCGGGACCUAAGGCGAGGCCGACAGGCGUAGUCGAUGGAUAACCGGUUGAUAUUCCGGUACCCGCUGUGAAGCGUCAAACAUCGAGCAUCGUGAUGCUAAGGCCGUGAAGCCGCCCUGAUCUCUUCGGAGUUGAGGGGAGUGGUGGAGCCGCUGAACCAAGCGGUUAGUAGGUGAGUGAUGGGGUGACGCAGGAAGGUAGUCCAUCCCGGGCGGUGGUUGUCCCGGGGUAAGGGUGUAGCCCGAGUGGUAGGUAAAUCCGCCACUCAUAUAAGGGUGAGACCUGAUGCCGAGCCGAUUGUGGUGAAGUGGAUGAUCCUAUGCUGUCGAGAAAAGCCUCUAGCGAGUUUCAUGGCGGCCCGUACCCUAAACCGACUCAGGUGGUCAGGUAGAGAAUACCGAGGCGUUCGGGUGAACUAUGGUUAAGGAACUCGGCAAAAUGCCCCCGUAACUUCGGGAGAAGGGGGGCCACACUCGGUGAUGGGAUUUACUCCCUGAGCUGGGGGUGGCCGCAGAGACCAGCGAGAAGCGACUGUUUACUAAAACACAGGUCCGUGCGAAGCCGUAAGGCGAUGUAUACGGACUGACGCCUGCCCGGUGCUGGAACGUUAAGGGGACCGGUUAGCUCCAUUUCGGUGGGGCGAAGCUGAGAACUUAAGCGCCAGUAAACGGCGGUGGUAACUAUAACCAUCCUAAGGUAGCGAAAUUCCUUGUCGGGUAAGUUCCGACCUGCACGAAUGGCGUAACGACUUCUCGACUGUCUCAACCAUAGGCCCGGUGAAAUUGCACUACGAGU